rnacentral:rRNA from 1 species
UACGUAGGGACCAAGCGUUGUUCGGAUUUACUGGGCGUAAAGGGCGCGUAGGCGGCGCUGUAAGUCACUUGUGAAAUCUCCGGGCUUAACUCGGAACGGUCAAGUGAUACUGCAGUGCUAGAGUGCAGAAAGGGCAAUCGGAAUUCUUGGUGUAGCGGUGAAAUGCGUAGAUAUCAAGAGGAACACCUGAGGCGAAGGCGGUGUUCUGGGCCAGUACUGACGCUGAGGCGCGAAAGCGUGGGGAGCGAACAGG